rnacentral:rRNA from 1 species
CGUUCCCGUGGGAAAAAAAGGAUCCUAUCACCCAAAUCAGCGUAUGACGAUGUCUGCAUACCAAAUUGCAUCAAAAUUCGUUCAGUAAUUUCAGCAUAAUUGACGAUCAAACAUCCAGACAGACAAACAAACUUCACAUUUAUAAUAUUAGUGUGAACUCGGACUACAGUUUUUCAACAUUAAAUGUUACUUUGAUACAGACAAAACAAAUCGCACCUUAUACAUAGAUAUAGCCUCAUCAGGCUCUCCAAGUCCGAUGUAUAUUUGCUCAGCCUUCCGCAACUGUCCGUCCUGCCGCAUUUGUUGUGCGAGUGGCAUGUAGAUGUCUCGGGUUUGUUCCUCGGACAGUUGUGCGGCGGCCAGGCGCAGUCCGUCCGCUACCCGGCCGGCGGCAUUGUAUGCCCGGACACAACGCUCCGACAUACCGCACGAUACUAGCACACGUUCUGCCGUCUCCCAUUCCUGGAUAACGACCAUACAAAUAUGUAUAACCAAUAUUUUUUAAAUAGUCGUUUUGUGAAAGUUAGAUCAUGGAAGUAGUUUAGUGCUCCAAAAAGAACAAGUAGGUAAUAAAAAGUCCAAAUACAUAAAAAAUAUCGAAAAAUUUUAACAAGAACGUGGUAUCAGUCGUGCUAGAUUGUGAAGGGCAGGUAUAGGCCUAAAUUAAUCAAUCACUCCAUAUAACAUACAUACAUGUGCACAUUCGACCGAAUUUGGUUAAGAACCUGUGACGAAAAUUGGUUCAGAAAAUAUAAAAAAAGAAGUCUAAAGUCCCUUAAUUAUUUUCAGUAAUUUCUUCAUAAGGCUACAAAACUUACUCGAGUUGAUAUAAAGUGAUCACCAAGUCUCUCACACUGCUCUCUGAUAGACUCCUUAUCGUCUAUAGCCUGAAAAUUACAAUAACCUAGAUUAGGCAAAUAUUUAGCAAACAUAACCUCAUCAAUGUAAUAUCCAAUCAGCAACAGGUGGGUGAUUCAAUUAUUUAUCGGUUGGGGCCAUCCACAUUUAUCGAGGUAAUUUACAUUAACCUUUAUGUCAAUAUCAUUUACUCUGAAUCCAAUAGGACGGCGAUGAACCCUUGUAAACAUAUGGAAUUAAAAAGCUACAAUACUGGAUAUAGAAACCGUUACUCUCUCAUGGUUUUCCUAAAAGGGUUCAGCUGUCCUUAAGCUAAUCUUGAUCUUGUUAGAUCCAUAGUUUGUCUGUCUAACUUAAAAGCUAGAAUGGACCCUAAAUGUUGAAAGUAUUCAUCGAUUUACUUCUAUCAAUAGUAUAUAGUUAAUGAUUUGAGAUAGUAUGUGUGCGUAGAGACAUUGGGAGAAUUUGUUUCCCGUAUCAUCGUGCCACGUAUGAGACGAGGCAACGUAGCAGUUUGUAAGUAUGUAAGAGAAGAAAACCUUGUUUGGAGAAGACGGCCCUCUGCAUCUUUCUUAAGUAAAAGGGCUCCGUGAUAGUGUUUCAUGUUGUGGUUCUUUAAUGCCAAGCAAGCGCGGGUAAACGGCGGGAGUAACUAUGACUCUCUUAAGGUAGCCAAAUGCCUCGUCAUCUAAUUAGUGACGCGCAUGAAUGGAUUAACGAGAUUCCCACUGUCCCUAUCUACUAUCUAGCGAAACCACAGCCAAGGGAACGGGCUUGGGAGAAUCAGCGGGGAAAGAAGACCCUGUUGAGCUUGACUCUAGUCUGGCAUUGUAAGGAGACAUGAGAGGUGUAGCAUAAGUGGGAGAUCGUUCGCGCGAUCGUCGCUGAAAAACCACUACUUUCAUUGUUUCAUUACUUACUCGGUUGGGCGGAAGCGGUGCGCGGUCGAUAAUAUCGGCGGGCGCACGGUGUUUCGUUCCAAGCGUGCAGAGUGGCGACGUGGCGGCAACGCUCGUCGCCGUACAACUCCCGCGUGAUCCGGUUCGAGGACACUGCCAGGCGGGUAGUUUGACUGGGGCGGUACAUCUGUCAAAGAAUAACGCAGGUGUCCUAAGGCCAGCUCAGCGAGGACAGAAACCUCGCGUGGAGCAAAAGGGCAAAAGCUGGCUUGAUCCAGAUGUUCAGUACGCAUAGGGACUGCGAAAGCACGGCCUAUCGAUCCUUUAGUAUAAAGAGUUUUUAGCAAGAGGUGCCAGAAAAGUUACCACAGGGAUAACUGGCUUGUGGCAGCCAAGCGUUCAUAGCGACGUUGCUUUUUGAUCCUUCGAUGUCGGCUCUUCCUAUCAUUGCGAAGCAAAAUUCGCCAAGCGUUGGAUUGUUCACCCAUCAAAAGGGAACGUGAGCUGGGUUUAGACCGUCGUGAGACAGGUUAGUUUUACCCUACUGAUGGCUUGUCGUUGCGAUAGUAAUACUGCUCAGUACGAGAGGAACCGCAGUUUCGGACAUUUGGUUCAUGCACUCGGCCGAGCGGCCGGUGGUGCGAAGCUACCAUCCGCGGGAUUAUGCCUGAACGCCUCUAAGGCCGAAGCCAGCCUAGCCGAAUCCGGCAAGGAUAUGCUCACUGUGGAGCCCCGAGAGUCGGGAGGCUCUAAACAAUGUGACUUUACUAGUCGCGCUUCACCACGUGAGGUGCGACGUCGAAGCCCAUUUGGAUCGCGGAGAUCGAUGC